rnacentral:tRNA from 1 species
UCCUUGAUAGCUCAGUUGGUAAAGAAUCUGCCUGCAAUGCAGGAGACCCUGGUUCAAUUCCCGUGUCAGGAA